rnacentral:rRNA from 1 species
GACGAACGCUGGCGGCGUGCCUAAUACAUGCAAGUUGAGCGCUGAAGGUUGGUACUUGUACCGACUGGAUGAGCAGCGAACGGGUGAGUAACGCGUGGGGAAUCUGCCUUUGAGCGGGGGACAACAUUUGGAAACGAAUGCUAAUACCGCAUAAAAACUUUAAACACAAGUUUUAAGUUUGAAAGAUGCAAUUGCAUCGCUCAAAGAUGAUCCCGCGUUGUAUUAGCUAGUUGGUGAGGUAAAGGCCCACCAAGGCGAUGAUACAUAGCCGACCUGAGAGGGUGAUCGGCCACAUUGGGAAUGAGACACGGCCCAAACUCCUACGGGAGGCAGCAGUAGGGAAGCUUCGGCAAUGGACGAAAGUCUGACCGAGCAACGACGCGUGAGUGAAGAAGGUUUUCGGAUCGUAAAACUCUGUUGGUAGAGAAGAACGUUGGUGAGAGUGGAAAGCUCAUCAAGUGACGGUAACUACCCAGAAAGGGACGGCUAACUACGUG